rnacentral:rRNA from 1 species
GACGAACCGUCCGAACGUUAUCCGGAUUCACUGGGUUUAAAGGGUGCGUAGGUGGGUCUGUAAGUCAGUGGUGAAAUCUCCGGGCUUAACCCGGAAACUGCCAUUGAUACUAUAGGUCUUGAAUUAUCUGGAGGUGAGCGGAAUAUGUCAUGUAGCGGUGAAAUGCUUAGAUAUGACAUAGAACACCAAUUGCGAAGGCAGCUCACUACGGAUAUAUUGACACUGAGGCACGAAAGCGUGGGGAUCAAACAGG